rnacentral:rRNA from 1 species
CCCAGACUCCUACGGGAGGCAGCAGUGGGGAAUAUUGGGCAAUGGGCGCAAGCCUGACCCAGCAACGCCGCGUGAAGGAAGAAGGCCUUCGGGUUGUAAACUUCUUUUAAGGGGGAAGAGGAGAAGACGGUACCCCUUGAAUAAGCCACGGCUAACUACGUGCCAGCAGCCGCGGUAAUACGUAGGGGGCAAGCGUUAUCCGGAUUCACUGGGUGUAAAGGGAGCGUAGACGGCCAUGCAAGCCUGGAGUGAAAGCCCGGGGCCCAACCCCGGGACUGCUCUGGGAACUGUGCGGCUGGAGUGCGGGAGGGGCAGGCGGAAUUCCUGGUGUAGCGGUGAAAUGCGUAGAUAUUAGGAGGAACACCAGUGGCGAAGGCGGUCUGCUGGACAGCAACUGACGCUGAGGCGCGAAAGCGUGGGGAGCAAACAGGAUUAGAUACCCUAGUAUU